rnacentral:rRNA from 1 species
UGGGGAAUUUUGGACAAUGGGCGAAAGCCUGAUCCCAGCAAUGCCGCGUGUGUGAAGAAGGCCUUCGGGUUGUAAAGCACUUUUGUCCGGAAAGAAAUCCUUGGCUCUAAUACAGUCGGGGGAUGACGGUACCGGAAGAAUAAGCACCGGCUAACUACGUGCCAGCAGCCGCGGUAAUACGUAGGGUGCAAGCGUUAAUCGGAAUUACUGGGCGUAAAGCGUGCGCAGGCGGUUUGCUAAGACCGAUGUGAAAUCCCCGGGCUCAACCUGGGAACUGCAUUGGUGACUGGCAGGCUAGAGUAUGGCAGAGGGGGGUAGAAUUCCACGUGUAGCAGUGAAAUGCGUAGAGAUGUGGAGGAAUACCGAUGGCGAAGGCAGCCCCCUGGGCCAAUACUGACGCUCAUGCACGAAAGCGUGGGGAGCAAACAGGAUUAGAUACCCUGGUAGUCCACGCCCUAAACGAUGUCAACUAGUUGUUGGGGAUUCAUUCCUUAGUAACGUAGCUAACGCGUG